CAGAAAUAACUCUUGAUUUACUGGUGUGUAAUGGCAGGACAGCACAGGUAGUACAGUUACAACUAGGUCUAAGGCACUGGAGGCCAUUAGAUUAGACAUUAGAACCAGGGCUGAUGGAGAGCCAGUAGACAGAGACAUCGAGAACAUUUUUGCUAUUGAGGGAAUUAAGAAGUAAAAUGUGGUUUUCCAUCAAAAUGAGAAUUACUGUGAGCUAAUAAAGGAGAUUGCAAAUGUUGCAAGAUAAAAUAUCAUUUUCCAUUGAUGGAUGUCGAUUUAACCCGUUUGACUGCUAUCGAUUGGCAUGUACAGUACAUAGCUAUAGAUAUCCUGAUUGGCAGGUACAGUACAUAGCUAUAGAUAUCCUGAUUGGCAGGUACAGUACAUAGCUAUAGAUAUCCUGAUUGGCAGGUACAGUACAUAGCUAUAGAUAUCCUGAUUGGCAUGUACAGUACAUAGCUAUAGAUAUCCUGAUUGGCAUGUACAGUACAUAGCUAUAGAUAUCCUGAUUGGCAGGUACAGUACAUAGCUAUAGAUAUCCUGAUUGGCAGGUACAGUACAUAGCUAUAGAUAUCCUGAUUGGCAUGUACAGUACAUAGCUAUAGAUAUCCUGAUUGGCAUGUACAGUACAUAGCUAUAGAUAUCCUGAUUGGCAGGUACAGUACAUAGCUAUAGAUAUCCUGAUUGGCAUGUACAGUACAUAGCUAUAGAUAUCCUGAUUGGCAUGUACAGUACAUAGCUAUAGAUAUCCUGAUUGGCAUGUACAGUACAUAGCUAUAGAUAUAUCCUGAUUGGCAGGUACAGUACAUAGCUAUAGAUAUCCUGAUUGGCAUGUACAGUACAUAGCUAUAGAUAUCCUGAUUGGCAUGUACAGUACAUAGCUAUAGAUAUCCUGAUUGGCAGGUACAGUACAUAGCUAUAGAUAUCCUGAUUGGCAUGUACAGUACAUAGCUAUAGAUAUCCUGAUUGGCAGGUACAGUACAUAGCUAUAGAUAUCCUGAUUGGCAGGUACAGUACAUAGCUAUAGAUAUCCUGAUUGGCAUGUACAGUACAUAGCUAUAGAUAUCCUGAUUGGCAGGUACAGUACAUAGCUAUAGAUAUCCUGAUUGGCAUGUACAGUACAUAGCUAUAGAUAUCCUGAUUGGCAGGUACAGUACAUAGCUAUAGAUAUCCUGAUUGGCAUGUACAGUACAUAGCUAUAGAUAUCCUGAUUGGCAGGUACAGUACAUAGCUAUAGAUAUCCUGAUUGGCAGGUACAGUACAUAGCUAUAGAUAUCCUGAUUGGCAUGUACAGUACAUAGCUAUAGAUAUAUCCUGAUUGGCAUGUACCGUCGUGGCCAAAAGUUUUGAGAAUGACACAAAUAUUAAUUUCCACAAAGUUUGCUGCUUCAGUGCCUUUAGAUAUUUUUGUCAGAUGUUGCUAUGGAUACUGAAGUAUAAUUACAAGCAUGUCAUAAGUGUCAAAGGCUUUUAUUGACAAUAACAUGAAGUUGAUGCAAAGAGUCAAUAUUUAUAGUGUUGACCCUUCUUUUUCAAGACCUCUGCAAUCUGCCCUGGCAUGCUGUCAAUUAACUUCUGGGCCACAUCCUGACUGAUGGCAGACCAUUCAAUUAACUUCUGGGCCACAUCCUGACUGAUGGCAGACCAUUCAAUUAACUUCUGGGCCACAUCCUGACUGAUGGCAGCCCAUUCAAUUAACUUCUGGGCCACAUCCUGACUGAUGGCAGCCCAUUCAAUUAACUUCUGGGGCACAUCCUGACUGAUGGCAGCCCAUUCAAUUAACUUCUGGGCCACAUCCUGACUGAUGGCAGACCAUUCAAUUAACUUCUGGGCCACAUCCUGACUGAUGGCAGCCCAUUUAAUUAACUUCUGGGCCACAUCCUGACUGAUGGCAGCCCAUUCAAUUAACUUCUGGGCCACAUCCUGACUGAUGGCAGCCCAUUCAAUUAACUUCUGGGCCACAUCCUGACUGAUGGCAGCCCAUUCAAUUAACUUCUGGGGCACAUUCUGACUGAUGGCAGCCCAUUCAAUUAACCUCUGGGCCACAUCCUGACUGAUGGCAGCCCAUUCUUGCAUAAUCAAUGCUUGCAGAAUUUAUGUUUUUUUGUUUGUCCACCCGCCUCUUGAGGAUUGACCACACGUUCUCAAUGGGAUUAAGGUCUGGGGAGUUUCCUGGCCAUGGACCCAAAAUAUCGAUGUUAUGUUCCCCAAGCCACUUAGUUAUCACUUUUGCCCUAUGGCAAGGUGCUCCAUCGUGCUGGAAAAGGCAUUGUUCGUCACCAAACUGUUCCUGGAUGGUUGGGAGAAGUUGCUCCUGGAGGAUGUGUUGGUACCAUUCUUUAUUCAUGGCUGUGUUCUUAGGCAAAAUUGUGAGUGAGCCCACUCCCUUGGCUGAGAAGCAACCCCACACAUGAAUGGUCUCAGGAUGCUUUACUGUUGGCAUGACACAGGACUUGAUGGUAGCGCUCACCUUGUUUUCUCCGGACAAGCUUUUUUCCGGAUGCCCCAAACAAUCAGAGAAAAUGACUUUACCCCAGUCCUCAACAGUCCAAUCCCUGUGCAGAAUAUCAGUCUGUCCCUGAUGUCUUUCCUGGAGAGAAGUGGCUUCUUUGCUGUCCUUCUUGACACCAGGCCAUCCUCCAAAAGUCUUCUUCACAACAGUCCUGAAGCCUUCUUCACAACAAGUGAACCGCUCUCCUUGAAGUUCUUGAUGCCCCGAUAAAUGGUUGAUUUCGGUGCAAUCUUACUGGCAGCAAUAUCCUUGCCUGUGAAGCCCUUUUUGUGCAAAGUAAUGAUGACGGCACGUGUUUCCUUGCAGGUAACCAUGGUUGACAGAGGAAGAACAAUCAUUCCAAGCACUGCCCUCCUUUUGAAGCUUCCAGUCUGUUAUUCAAACUCAAUCAGCAUGACAGAGCCUUGUCCUCGUCAACAGCCUUGUCCUCCUCAACACUCACACCUGUGUUAAUGAGAGAAUCACUGACAUGUCAGCUGGUCCUUUUGUGGCAGGGCUGAAAUGCAGUGGAAAUGUUUUUGGGGGAUUCAGUUCAUUUGCAUGGCAAAGAGGGACUUUGCAAUUAAUUGCAAUUCAUCUGAUCACUCUUCAUAACAUUCUGGAGUAUAUGCAAAUUGCCAUCAUACAAACUGAGGCAUCAGACUUUGUGAAAAUUAAUAUUUGUGUCAUUCUCAAAACUUUUGGCCACGACUGUGCUGAAUCAUAAGUAAGGCUCAGGUUUUUGCAGACGCAAGGAGGUUACGGCUGUUCAGAAUGAUAUGAUACAAGGUUAUGAUUAAUAAGUUGACUGUUUGUAGAUGUGAAAAGGUAAAGACCGUAUAGAGUUUAAUUCAGGAGAUGGUAACUCUUUAAAUAAUCUCUCUCGUGGUGCCCUAGAUCCUAAUGAGUUAAUUGUUACAUGAUGAAUUUAACAAUUAAACAUAUUUAGUUAAUUAGAUAAAUAACAGUCCUCAGAUGAAUGUUAAAGUCAAGUCACGACGUUAAUGGGGAACGGCAGGGUAGCCUAGUGGUUAGAGCAUUGGACUAGUAACCGAAAGGUUGCAAGAUCGAAUCCCCGAGCUGACAAGGUACAUAUCUGUCGUUCUGCCCUGGAACAAGACAUUUAACCCACUGUUCCUAGGCCGUCAUUGAAAAUAAGAAUUUGUUCUUAACUGACUUGCCUAGUUCAAUAAACGUAUAAAUUUGAUAAAUAACAGUCCUCAGACUGUCCUCGCGACAACAUAUUUAUUGUAUAAAAUGGGCUACAUUAGCCCACAAAAGCACAGACAAUUAUAUUUGAUAGCCAACCGAUGUAAAUGUAUCAGUCUCCACAUUAAUGUUCGUUCCAUUGUGGACCUUUCCCCCCGAUAACAGAAGUAUACGAGGGAGAUCCAAAAGCAGCACUCGACACAACAACCGUGACUUGAUACGGUUUUCCAGAAGCAAAGUCCAUAUUAGAAUGGAGUUGAAACCCCCUCUUCUGAGCAAAUGUAUGUAACGCUCUCUCGUGUGUAUGUAACGCUCUCUCGUGUGUAUGUAACGCUCUCUCGUGUGUAUGUAACGCUCUCUCGUGUGUAUGUAACGCUCUCUCGUGUGUAUGUAACGCUCUCUCGUGUGUAUGUAACGCGCUCUCUCGUGUGUAUGUAACGCGCUCUCUCGUGUGUAUGUAACGCGCUCUCGUGUGUAUGUAACGCUCUCUCGUGUGUAUGUAACGCUCUCUCGUGUGUAUGUAACGCUCUCUCGUGUGUAUGUAACGCUCUCUCGUGUGUAUGUAACGCUCUCUCGUGUGUAUGUAACGCUCUC